UACUUUUAAGUAAAGUUUCAUUAAACAAAUUAUUAAGUAAAAUUCUAAUUUUACUGUUAUAAGUCAUUAUAAAUAAAUUUUACUAAAAUUAUUAAUUAAAGAUUAUAACAAAUUCGGAAUAGAACCCGAGUAUGAAUUUUAUUUUAGGUAGUAUUUUAAAACCUAAAUUGUGUGGCAGUUAUUUAUUCUAAUUAGAGAAUUUUGGUUAAUAAAUUGAUACCCCACAAUUUUAUUUACUUACUUGUGCUUGUGUGUGGUUGUUUAAAAAUAAAUUUAAAUUUAGAUUUUUGUCCAAAUAACAUAUAGUCUAAAUAAGGAGUAACUGAAAUGCUUUUAGUUUUUUUAAUUAAUUAAGGAUUUAAUAGUAGGUAAAAAAAAUCGAAA
rnacentral:rRNA from 1 species